GUGGGGAAUCUUAGACAAUGGGGGAAACCCUGAUCUAGCCAUGCCGCGUGAUCGAUGAAGGCCUUAGGGUUGUAAAGAUCUUUCAGGUGGGAAGAUAAUGACUGUACCACCAGAAGAAGCCCCGGCUAACUCCGUGCCAGCAGCCGCGGUAAUACGGAGGGGGCUAGCGUUGUUCGGAAUUACUGGACGUAAAGCGCACGUAGGCGGAUUGGAAAGUUGGGGGUGAAAUCCCGGGGCUCAACCCCGGAACUGCCUUCAAAACUCCCAGUCUUGAGUUCGAGAGAGGUGAGUGGAAUUCCGAGUGUAGAGGUGAAAUUCGUAGAUAUUCGCAAGAACACCGGUGGCGAAGGCGGCCAACUGGUCCAUUACUGACGCUGAGGUGCGAAAGCGUGGGGAGCAAACAGGAUUAGAAACCCUUGUAGUCC
rnacentral:rRNA from 1 species